UUGAUAGCACUGGAGAAUGAAGUCCUCUUUCUCCAAAGGAUAGGUGCAACAUGGACAGUGGCAAUGUGAGCUUCUCCACAACCGCCUGCCAGUGAACUUCAUGACUAACCAAGAAAGAUUGGUCUGGUCAGAGGUCAGGUUAUACCCCAUAGUCAACACAGUUCUUGGCCGCU
ensembl:misc_RNA